GGCCCUAUAGUUGAUCACAACAUUAAAUUGCAAGUUUAAAGGAGUAAAUUUAUUUACUAGGGCUU
rnacentral:tRNA from 1 species